rnacentral:misc_RNA from 1 species
UGAAUAAAGUCUAUUAGAGUAGCUGGUGAUCAAUCAUGACACAGAAAACAGAAAAAUCUAGUCUGAAAUGCAUAUUUAUAAGAAAAAGGAGAUGUUGAAGAUCUCCAUUUAAUGUUUAUUGCAAAUUAUAGCUCAUUUAGCCAUAUAUUGCCUGGUACAUGAUGAUCUGGUGGGAACCAGAAUUGUUAAAGAUAGGGUCACUCAGAUAAUGAUUGAUAUUUUCAUACAGAUAGGGAA